rnacentral:rRNA from 1 species
UACAGAGGGUGCAAGCGUUGUUCGGAAUUAUUGGGCGUAAAGCGCGUGUAGGCGGCUUUGCAAGUCGGGUGUGAAAUCCCUCGGCUCAACCGAGGAAGUGCGCCCGAAACUGCAGAGCUUGAGUACCGGAGAGGAUGGCGGAAUUCCCGAAGUAGAGGUGAAAUUCGUAGAUAUCAAGCGGAACACCGGUGGCGAAGGCGGCCUUCUGGACGAUGACUGACGCUGAGACGCGAAAGCGUGGGGAGCAAACAGG